UUUCCACAACCCAAAAAGUCCGAAGCCAUUUCCGAAACAAAAAACCCUCUCCCCAAACUCCACCAUCUGUCUCUCUGACCUUGCGAGACCCCUUCCUCCGCCACUCUCUCUCUGCGACCCUGCGACCCUGCGAGACCCGAGCGACACCUCACUCCGCCACCAUGCUGCGCCAAGCCACCACCUUCUGACCCGAUCAGCUAUCCCCCUCAGCGCCAGUCCCUUUUCCACCGACGUCGCUGCGACUGCCCCAGCUGGUUCUACUUUUAGCGACGCCUGGAAGAAGGCGGUGCCUCACAUAGAACCCCCCAAGACCCUAUUGACCUUCAUGAAAGCCUCGGCCUGCAACCCCGUCGUCGAUCCCCACUAAGCUCCCUGUCAACUUUGUGCUCCCUUAUGCGUCCGAACUUUCGGCCAAAGAGGUCAUCCCUUUGACAACCUUUAUCCUGGUUCUGAUUGCCUUAUCUCCUUGUCUCAUUGAAGCUUGGAGCCAUCCACUGCCAUCGUUGAUUACAAGAUGUGUUGCCUAUGCAUAUACUUGUGGGUUUAUGUUUGGGUGGCACUUUCAUGAGAAGGCAUCACUCCACUUUGUCUCUUGCCAUUGUUGCAGUGCAGAGUUUGGAUAAUGUGAGGCUUUACUUCUUGUUAUCAAUUGGUAUCCUUCUUCUUGCUUUCAUUUCUUCGCAGAGAAACGAGGGGGGUUUCCUUGAGAGAUUUGUUUGAGUGGGGGUUAUUAUGUUUCAGUGUUUUCUAUGCAGUUUCCUGCGACUCGCUGUUCCCACUUCUACAUGAAGCGCUUCAGGAGUAUCCAGUAAAGGUUUUAUUGCUGUAGCUCCCAGAUCACUACUCUCUCUAUCUCCUUUCUUUCUUGUCGUGUUCUCUCUCUCCUUUUUCUCUCGUGGUAUUCCCUCUCCCUCUAAACACCAUCUUCUCGUCAUCAAAUAACGGCCUUCCGGACAAUCACGAUUUCGUAUGAUUUUAUCUUACUUUUUUUUUAGGGAAUCUGCAGCACUGCUGUCUUUCCUAUUUGAUAUUUGUCUAAUUUCUUAUGAGUCCUUGACACCUAGUGUGACUGUCGCAAUCUGAAAACUAACGAAGUCUCUUUCUAUGCAUAAUAAAAAUUAUUUUCUUCUCCCUUUCCA